rnacentral:rRNA from 1 species
GAUCAACGCUGGCGGCGUGCCUAAUGCAUGCAAGUCGAGCGGGGUGUCCUUCGGGGCACUUACGCGGCGGACGGGUGCGGAACACGUGGGCAACCUGCCCUGAGGUGGGGGAUAGCCGGUGGAAACACCGGGUAAUUCCGCAUACGGUCACUCGUCGGAGGACGGGUGAGGAAAGGGUCUUUGACCCGCCUUAGGAGGGGCCUGCGGCCGAUUAGCUAGACGGUGGGGUAACGGCCUACCGUGGCGAUGAUCGGUAGCUGGUCUGAGAGGACGGCCAGCCACACGGGGACUGAGACACGGCCCCGACUCCUACGGGAGGCAGCAGCAAGGAAUCUUCCGCAAUGGGCGAAAGCCUGACGGAGCAACGCCGCGUGUGGGAUGACGCCUUUCGGGGUGUAAACCACUUUUCUCAGGGAAGAAUACUGACGGUACCUGAGGAAUAAGGACCGGCUAACUACGUGCCAGCCGCCGCAGUAAAAC